GCCAACAGCAUAGGAAGUAAAACAAAUUCAAAGAAGGCAAGAGAUUAAAGGCACAUGUCAUGGCAAAAACAAAGCAAACAAAUUUUAUUCUCAAAGGGCCACUGCAACAAUAAGGAGCUAACAAGCAAAACACACAUGACAGCAGAUGCACCAGAAGAAAAAAGUUUACUGAAACAAAUGGACGGUUACAGUAAUAUCUUCUUGCAUGCUCAGGCCAACCAGGUUCACCGUGCCUCUUGUUGUUUCUUCUGCAGCAGCUCCUGAAACAUAAGUGGGGACAACAUUAGUUGUGCGUAGCUCCAAGCCCGCCACACAAAAGAAAAGGGACAAACCACAUCGCAAAGGAACUCGAUACCAGACCACCCAGCCGAGGCAGGACUUGUACCACCCCCACCCCACCCCUCCAAAUUCAUGACAGCAAAAACUGCUUUGAUUAAAUUUUCUCACCUCACUGGCGCGCUACGAAGGCUCCAGCCGGCGCCGCAGGGGAUCACGGAGGCGGGCAGACUGGGCAAAUGGAGCUGGGCACACAAAAAGCAGCGGCCAAAGGAGUCAGCUUCCCUGCUACAGGGGACCCCGACACUGCCACCCUCGCAAAGGGCCCGGACUGCGGCUCACAGCUGCCUCCCUGAAUUACAGGGCAGCCCCCAUCCCUCCGGCCGAGGGAGGCUCCUUCUCCCCCCGUUAGGCCACCCCACUAACGGGGCGGUCAACCUACACAGGCUGCCAGCAGGCCACUAACGGCUCACGCACCCAGAGCGCCGACUUACAGGGGGGGACGACACCCCUGGAGCCACAGAGCCCGGUUUUCCCCCCAGCGGCGGGAACAACUCUCAGCCACCAGGCAGCGGGGCAAAACGGCCAAAGGCCGGGCUCAGGAUCCCAUACCCGAUUCUUCCAGUGAGGGCGAAAGCCCAACCCCACAUCUCACAGCCCCGGGCCUCUGAAAGGCCGGGGGCCGCAUCCCGCCUGACUACAGGGGGUCUCUCAGAAAGCACUUCACCAAGCACAGGGGGGCACGCACAGCCCUGCCUACAGGACGGCGCCCCACACCUCACCAUCAUCAAUUUAAGAAGCCCCGUGGAGCACGCAGCUCCACCAGCGCCCUGAAACUAACAGGCGUGCCGCCCGGGCAGCACAACAUCACCACAUCAUUUAGCACACAGAAACAAAACACCUCGAACCCCCAGCGGGAGGUCCACCACACACAAACAAUAGUACCUCAACCCUGCACCCUCUGACGGGACAGGGAGGGGUCAUCCCCACCAACUGGAUGGCUAGAGCAGCCGGCUGCAACGCAAGAGACACCCCACACCUGAUUACAGGGCGGGCUGGCCGCUCGGGGAAUAGGGGACUGGAAAGC
rnacentral:lncRNA from 1 species